GAUAAGGACAAAGCGGAGGACCCGAGCCGCCUCCUCCCGCCGUGCUGCUGCUAUCUUAGCUGCUUCGGCGGGGCCGCCAUUGGUGGCCGCCGGGUCCUCUCAGCGGCGGCGCCGCGCCCGCAGGACACACCACGAACUCUGUCUGAUCUAGUGAAGUCUGAGUUGAUUGUAUCUCAAUCAGUUAUUACUUUCAACAAUGUAUCUCUUGGUUCCGGCAUCAAUGAAGAACGCAGCGAAAUGCGAUAACUAGUGUGAAUUGCAGAAUUCCGUGAAUCAUCGAGUCUUUGAACGCACAUUGCGCCCCCUGGUAUUCCGGGGGGCAUGCCUGUCCGAGCGUCAUUGCUGCCCAUCAAGCACGGCUUGUGUGUUGGGUCGUCGUCCCCUCUCCGGGGGGGACGGGCCCCAAAGGCAGCGGCGGCACCGCGUCCGAUCCUCGAGCGUAUGGGGCUUUGUCACCCGCUCUGUAGGCCCGGCCGGCGCUUGCCGAACGCAAAUCAAUCUUUUUCCAGGUUGACCUCGGAUCAGGUAGGGAUACCCGCUGAACUUAAGCAUAUCAAUAAGCGGAGGAAACCAUUUUUUUUCUUUUUUUCCUUUUUUAUAUUUUUUUAUUUAUUUUUAUUUUUAGAUAUCUU
rnacentral:misc_RNA from 1 species